GUGCCAGCAGCCGCGGUAAUACGUAAGGACCGAGCGUUGUCCGGAAUCAUUGGGCGUAAAGGGUACGUAGGCGGUUAAAAAAGUUAGAAGUGAAAGGCUAUAGCUCAACUAUAGUAAGCUUUUAAAACUGUUUAACUUGAGAGAUGGAAGGGAAAGUGGAAUUCCUAGUGUAGCGGUGAAAUGCGCAGAUAUUAGGAGGAAUACCGGUGGCGAAGGCGACUUUCUGGCCAUUAUCUGACGCUGAGGUACGAAAGCGUGGGUAGCAAACAGGAUUAGAUAC
rnacentral:rRNA from 1 species